GUACUGCAGCACCUUGUAUUGGAGCAAGGAAGGCACUGAGGCUUGAACUAAAGCUCUAAAGCACUUUGCUGUGUCAUCUAUCUUCAUUGUCCCUUCUGGGAGCCAGAGAAACAGAGGACACACCCGGUAUGGGAACCAAAACCACCUAGCAACAGUAGCCUGCACGAGGGCUAGAAAUGCUCUGCCAUUUCAUUUAUCUUCUCCGCCCCUCCUGGCAACAGGAGAGACAGCAGCUGAAGGCACAGCCCAUCCGGAAACCAGAGACACGCAGCAGUGGACUCUGAGUAACAGCCUGAAAGAAAGCCAUCCCAUCCAUCUCCUGCUUCCUGUCUGCAGCGCUGCACCUGGCACAGGAAUCAGUUAGGUAAACAAAUGCCAUCACAGCUCUGAAAAAUGACGUCAGCUCCCUGUGCUGAUGAGAAAUGCAGUCGGCCUCCUCGUACCACAGUGCAGUUUGUGCUUCCCACUACCAUGUGAGCCAGGCCCAUUAGCUACAACCUCACCUCACUGCAAGCACGCGCCUAUAUAAAUACACCCCAUUCGCAGAGUGUCAAAAAUCGAGACUGGGUGCAAUCCUGACAUUGGUACCUGGAGAUGAGGCAUCAAACAUCUCAUUAUACAGUUUUGGUGGGAGAAGAGAAAUGUAUUUCCCCCCGACUUCUUAUUAAAAGCAUCUCGGUCUACUCAGGCAGAUCAGCAGGUACAAGGUCUAACCACCUGGCACUUCAUUUAUUAUUGGAAUGUGCAAACUGGGAGGAUGCAGCUUCUAGAAAUUCUCACAGAGGAAAUAUAAGGAAAUGUUGGUUCUUGCCAAGAAAAAAGGUUAGUCAGCUGAAAACAAAGUUCUCCCGGCUGUGCCCUCACAUGUUGCUGCUUGUGCUGCUGAAGCACCUGUGCUCCGAGACACCAGAACCUUCCGGAGGGAAGCGGCUGUUGCCUCCGCACCCUUUCCCUGGCUCUAUGGUGAGACCCACGGAGCCCCUCACACACUUCUGCUGCUGGCAUAACUGCUAGAAGGACCUGCCUAGAUGUGCUGUGCAAAAGAUGCUGAGGGCAGCUUCUUCAUUAUCAGAAGAAAUUUCCCACAGAAAUGCAAACUGAAACAGACCUUUUGGAAAAGGGUAAUGCAGUCUUCAUAAUGAUCAUUACUUUGACUAUGAGAAUAAGCAAACUGUUAUGGCUGAUCAGCCAUUUAAAGAGUUCUGUAAGGAUAAAAUCAUUCUUCACCUUCAUUCCAUGCUUCCAUCCCAACACAAGCAUUAAGAGUGGGUUAACCAAGGCUGUUUCACCCACCUCUAAGAACACGCCCUGCUACUCUCAGAUUUCAAACAGGCCUGGCUUUUCACUUUUCCUAGACUGCUCAGUAACUGUAUUCCAUACAACCUCUUUACUAGAAACAUUGAUAUGCACGUAAAU